UCAUGUGUCCAGUCCAUUCAAACAAAUAUGCCCUUGUUUUAUAAUGUUACGACGUCAGAGUGAGCACAUUACAAUGCACAAAGUUCAUAAUCUCCACAUGGCACGGGAAGCGCUCGACGUAAUGCCUCACUGAAUCAAUUUCGAACUCAACUCAACUGUGCGAUCGCACAUAGAGAGAGAGAGAGAGAGAGAGGAGAAGAGAGAGAAGAAGAAGAAGAAGAAGAAGAGUGAAGAAACAAGAGAUGUGGAGGCGCGCGACUCUACUUUCUUCACUGUUACCUUCAUCGAAAGCAUCGGUUCUUAACCAGAUGCAGGUAGCCUAUGGAUUGAAGAUUUGGGAAGCAUUCAGUACAGAUAUCUUGACAACGG